AUUGAACGCUGGCGGCAGGCCUAACACAUGCAAGUCGAACGAGUGGCGGACGGGUGAGUAAUGUCUGGGAAACUGCCCGAUGGAGGGGGAUAACUACUGGAAACGGUAGCUAAUACCGCAUACCAUCGGAUGUGCCCAGAUGGGAUUGGCUAGUAGGUGGGGUAACGGCUCACCUAGGCGACGAACCCGAACUGGUCUGAGGGGAUGAUCACGCACCCUGGAACUGAGACACGGUCCAGACUCCUCCGGGAGGCAGCAGUGGGGAAUAUUGGACAAUGUGCGAAAGCCUGCUCCAGCCAUGCCGCGUGUGUGAAGAAGGUCUUCGGAUUGUAAAGCACUUUAAGUUGGGAGGCGUUACCAACAGAAUAAGCACCGGCUAACUUCGUGCCAGCAGCCGCGGUAAUAC
rnacentral:rRNA from 1 species